UUUACCUCCUAGGAUUACUUCAUUAAGAAAAAAUAACCAACAUGCAAAAGUCUUGUGACGAAAACGAAGGAACACCCCAGAACACUCCAAAAGCAGAUGAAGGCCAUCCUUCAGAAGAUCCACCACAGCAGGCAGGAGAAAAUCUUCAGGCUUCUGGAGAAAAUGUGAGAGAGGAAACUGAUGGAAGCCUUCGAGGAGAGCCUGCUGAACCCAGCCCAGAGCCUAAAGAGGACACUCCUGCAAGGCAUCUGAACCCUGAAGAAGUGAUAAGAGGAGUAGAUGAGUUGGAAAGGCUUAGGGAAGAGAUAAGAAGAGUAAGAAAUAAGUUUGUGUUGAUGCAUUGGAAGCAAAGACAUUCCCGAAGCCGUCCUUACCCUGUGUGCUUCAGGCCUUGAAAUCGUUUUUUUCUCUAUUGAAAUGUGGCUGCUGCUUUCUUUCUCUUAGCAUUUUUCUGAUGUAUCUUUGAACUUCAUUUUACUUUUAAUAAUAAUUACCUGGCGGUAUUUUCUUUUAGGUAGUUUCGUUGUUACCAGCAUCUCAUUGGAUUUUGGAUUUUUGACCCAUUUUCCACGUUUAUCUUUCAGUUGGAAAGUUUCACACUUAUGCAUGGAAAUAUACAAUUAAACAGCAGAUUGAAAAGCAGCAUAUUUAGGAUCAGCUCACAUAUAUAGGAAAAUUCCUAAUUAUGUGUGUACAUGUAUAAUUAUACGUAUCAAAAAACUUAACUGCUUAUUUUUGGUGUGGUGUGUUUUAAUUUUGCCUUUUGCUUAUGUUGAUUUUUUUAAUGAAUACAUGUCUCAAAGAACUGCAGAUUUUUUUAAUAAGUGGGAGUUAAUUAAAAUUAAUUUGUAACCAGCUUGUAGAGGCAAUAAAGGCACUAAACUCCUGAUGAACUAUUAAAAAGAAAUGUAAACCUGGAAUUACCUCUGGAUUUCUUAGCCAGAGGAAUAAAACUGGCAAUCAUUAUAGAC
rnacentral:lncRNA from 1 species